ACUCUGAAUUACCUGAUAAACUGUGCCAUCACCCAACUGAACACUGGUAAAAAACUUUGUGCUAGCUGCUACAGAAAGUGCCCAUGGUGCAUUUUUAGAUAUUGUAUAAAACUCUGGACCUCUAUUACCAGCUGAAGUAGAUGUUAAUAUGCCUUUUUUCAUAGCAUGGAAACUCCAGAUCGCAUAUAUAUCAUUGAAAUAGUCGUUGUGUUCUACGAUUCUUGGUCCUGAUGAAAUGGAAAUGAUGUCAACACCAUCUUCAAUGGCUUCAUCAAAUGCUUGAAGGAUGUCUGCAUCGUCACAACCAGAUGACCGACAAGAAUAAUUCCCCCCAUUCCUUCAGCAUAAUCUAAAUUUCUCCCCCAAACCCUAAUUCUCCCUCCCCACUGCCUUCAAUCUCCCAAACCCCUUUCAUUCCUUCAAUAUAAUUUGAACUUCAAACAAUUUCUUCAAAACAUAUCAGUGGUUCUCCGCAUCACAAUCUUCAAACAAUUUUCGUGUUGAUUCCCCACAUCCGUGUGGCUUCGUGUUGGUUCCUUGCUUGGAAACGAGGCAUUCGUCGAGAUAUCUUAUUGUAGAAAGAACACAACACUCUUAACAAGGUUCCGAUCAAUUUCGUGUGUUUUAUGUUUUUGUUUGUUUUUUUUUUCUCUCUAACCUCAGUGCAUGUGUUGCGCUGAAAGAAAUAGAGGUGGAGUGUGAGUUUUUGAAGAGGUUCUGCGAGAAUCUGACGGAGGAGAACGAGAGGUUGCAGAAGGAAGUGCAAGAGCUCAGUGUGGAAAGAGGUCCCUGCUGCAGAGGGCCAUGCUCAGCAAAAGCUCCAACUCCAACAGAAGAACAGCCAGGCCCUUCAAAACCCAAAUAGCAUAUUAAACCGCUUCUUCCACUGAAUCUAAAGGGUUUGGUUAAGAUUCCAAAACCAAAGAAAAAAAAAAGAAAAAAAGAAGAAAUUUUGUCAUAUACACUACAGCAUAUACCAAUACCUCCAUUUAACCAUAGAACUAGUGGCUUUGAAGCCGGUUCCACUUCUGCUUCAACAAAGUAGUAAAACAAAGCUCUCUUCUGCUUCUCAUCCACAGUAAUGUAACCUGCAUAUUGCUGGAAUUUGACUGGUGGCUGCCCUGGCAAAGUGCUUAUCUUAUCAGCUUGUGAAACUGAAUUCACUCCCACAACACUUUGAGCUAUAACAAAUAACAGUGAUGCUGCAAUCAUAACAAAUGACUGAGACAUCAUAGUAAGAUCUGAGAAGGGGUUGUUGGUUUGAGGACAGUUCUCUGUGUGUGUUCUUUGAAGGUUGAAGGCAGAGUAAGGAAUAUAGUAAGGGCCUAUGUGAGUAUGAUUAUUAUAGUACUGUGGUAUGUGUUAGUGUGCAUGUUGGGUCCAUGACUCUGAAACAAGUUUUGGUGGUGACCCCAAUGUCUUGAAUCUUGGAGCUUCAUUAUGUUAUAAAAACGUGUUGUUACACUAAUAUUGCAAAAUAUUUAGUGUUGCUUUUUUACUGUGCACUUUCCGCAAGACUCGAUGGAACGUUGCUCUGCAAGUCUCGUGCUUCCAUCAAAUGCGGAAGAUUCGCAAGCCUCCAACGUUUACUUCCCGCAAGUCUCCAAUGUUUAAGUGAGAAUUCAGAUGAAAUAUGAAACCCUAGCUUUCAUAUAUAUGCAAGUUCUUCUUAAGGGUAUAUUUAUAGGGAAGAAUUUGAUCUUGUAAAGACUUGGUCCUAGUAGUCACUUUACACACAUUAAUUGAGAAUGCUUACACAAACAUGCACUUGGAUGAAAUUUUCCUAACUUUUUUCUUCUUUUCUUCCUAUUUAGUUUUCGGUCACAACAAUCACUUAUAAGACAUUUAAGAGGGAAUACUAAUACAAAGAUGCAAUGGAAUUAUAGUUUUCUCUAUCCAUUAGGGUUUACACCUAAUAAAGAUGUUGGUAAAUAUUUAAGAAGGAAAAAUACUUUACUAUGAUAAAUUUAUCACUCUUUCGAUUUUAAGUUAUCACAUUUUGUUUUUUUGGACAAAGUCUUAAUGCAGUUUUUAAAACAUAAAAUUGAAAAAAAUAUUGUGAU